rnacentral:sRNA from 1 species
AUCGCAUACAAAGUUAAAGCCGCGUUAGACGCGGCUUUAUU